AGUGAACGCUGGCGGUAGGCCUAACACAUGCAAGUCGAACGGCAGCACAGUAAGAGCUUGCUCUUACGGGUGGCGAGUGGCGGACGGGUGAGGAAUACAUCGGAAUCUACUUUUUCGUGGGGGAUAACGUAGGGAAACUUACGCUAAUACCGCAUACGACCUACGGGUGAAAGCAGGGGAUCUUCGGACCUUGCGCGAUUGAAUGAGCCGAUGUCGGAUUAGCUAGUUGGCGGGGUAAAGGCCCACCAAGGCGACGAUCCGUAGCUGGUCUGAGAGGAUGAUCAGCCACACUGGAACUGAGACACGGUCCAGACUCCUACGGGAGGCAGCAGUGGGGAAUAUUGGGCAAUGGGCGCAAGCCUGAUCCAGCCAUACCGCGUGAGUGAAGAAGGCCUUCGGGUUGUAAAGCCCUUUUGUUGGGAAAGAAAAGCAGCAGGUUAAUACCCCGCUGUCCUGACGGUACCCAAAGAAUAAGCACCGGCUAACUUCGUG
rnacentral:rRNA from 1 species